UGGGGAAUAUUGCACAAUGGGCGCAAGCCUGAUGCAGCCAUGCCGCGUGUGUGAAGAAGGCCUUCGGGUUGUAAAGCACUUUCAGCGGGGAGGAAGGCGGUGAGGUUAAUAACCUCACCGAUUGACGUUACCCGCAGAAGAAGCACCGGCUAACUCCGUGCCAGCAGCCGCGGAAAUACGGAGGGUGCAAGCGUUAAUCGGAAUUACUGGGCGUAAAGCGCACGCAGGCGGUCUGUCAAGUCGGAUGUGAAAUCCCCGGGCUCAACCUGGGAACUGCAUUCGAAACUGGCAGGCUAUAGUCUUGUAGAGGGGGGUAGAAUUCCAGGUGUGGCGGUGAAAUGCGUAGGGAUCUGGAGGAAUACCGGUGGCGAAGGCGGCCCCCUGGACAAAGACUGACGCUCAGGUGCGAAAGCGUGGGGAGCAAACAGG
rnacentral:rRNA from 1 species